CCUACGGGUGGCAGCAGUGAGGAAUAUUGGUCAAUGGCCGCAAGGCUGAACCAGCCAAGUCGCGUGAAGGAAGAAGGAUCUAUGGUUUGUAAACUUCUUUUAUAGGGGAAUAAAGGUAUCCACGAGUGGAGAUUUGCAUGUACCCUACGAAUAAGCAUCGGCUAACUCCGUGCCAGCAGCCGCGGUAAUACGGAGGAUGCGAGCGUUAUCCGGAUUUAUUGGGUUUAACGGGUGGGUAGGUGGUUGUUUAAGUAUGCGGUGAAAGUGUAGGGCUCAACCAUGAAAUUGCCUUUGAAACUGGAAGACUUGAGUGUGUUUGAGGUAGGCGGAAUGCGUGGUGUAGCGGUGAAAUGCAUAGAUAUCACGCAGAACUCCGAUUGCGAAGGCAGCUUACUAGGCCAUAACUGACGCUGAUGCACGAAAGCGUGGGGAGCAAACAGGAUUAGAUACCCCAGUAGUC
rnacentral:rRNA from 1 species